rnacentral:sRNA from 1 species
GUUGGGUGUGGUGGCACACACCUGUAAUCCCAGUAGCUUGGGAAGCUGAAGCAGGAGGAUCCCAAGUUCAAAGCCAGCCUCAGCAAAAGCGGGGAGGCACUAAGCAACUCAGUGAGACCCUGUCUCUA